GUUAAAAAGCUCGUAGUUGGAUUUUGGUUAAGAGGGCACGGUCGGCCGUUUAGUCUGAACUGCGUUGUCUUGACUUCCUGAUGAGGACAUGCUCUUGGUUAACGCUGAGACAUGGAGUCAUCGUGGUUACUUUGAAAAAAUUAGAGUGUUCAAAGCGGGCUUACGCUUGAAUAUAUUAGCAUGGAAUAACACUAUAGGACUCCUGUCCUAUCUCGUUGGUCUCGGGAUGGGAGUAAUGAUUAAGAGGAACAGUUGGGGGCAUUCGUAUUUCAUUGUCAGAGGUGAAAUUCUUGGAUUUAUGAAAGACGAACUUCUGCGAAAGCAUUUGCCAAGGAUGUUUUCAUUGAUCAAGAACGAAAGUUGGGGGCUCGAAGAUGAUUAGAUACCAUCCUAGUCUCAACCAUAAACGAUGCCGACUAGGGAUUGGCGGAUGUUAAUUGAUGACUUCGCCAGCACCUUAUGAGAAAUCAAAGUUUUUGGGUUCCGGGGGGAGUAUGGUCGCAAGGCUGAGACUUAAAGGAAUUGACGGAAGGGCACCACCAGGCGUGGAGCCUGCGGCUUAAUUUGACUCAACACGGGGAAACUUACCAGGUCCAGACAUAGUAAGGAUUGACAGAUUGAGAGCUCUUUCU
rnacentral:rRNA from 1 species